UUUCUUGUAUGUUGUGUGACAUUUUUACAUACAAUUGGUCUUUAAUUUAUAUUGUCUGUUUUUAGGAUCAAAAUAGGGUCAAAACUCAAUUGUUUUACUCCAUCCAUUGAAUUUGCCCGCCCAUUUUUUGGCCAAAAUUUAAACUUCCCCCUUUUCACCAAACCCCUUGUUUUAAUUUGGGAAAGGAAAAAAGGUUCAGAUGCAGAAGGAGGCCCAACACUCGAGAGUUCCCCAAUCUCUCUCCUCCGCCUCUACAAAAAUCGGAGACCAGCCUUUUGGCCUUAUUUCGACACCGCCACCAUCAAACGACGGCACAUAGAGCGGGGAGAAAACCCCAGCCAACCCGUCGCUAGUUUCAGUUCUCCACUCUCUCUUAAUCAAAGCCAUCAGAUUCGCCUCACCAAAUUGAAAAGAGAUAGUCAUCUUCCACUGUCCCCUUCUAGAAGAAAGAUGCAGGGAAGAGAGCGGCCCAGAGUGGCCUAAGAUUCGUCAUCUUUCAUUCAUCACGAUUAGUUGGAAAUAUUGAAAUCGAGAAUUGACCAACACAGAGUACAAUAAGUUUCUUGAAGUGCCGACAUCGAGACAAAUAAGGUAUGUUCUUCAAACAUGCUACCACUACCCUUUUCAAUGCAUUAAACCCUUCCCCUUCUUGAUUACUUGGCAAAGGCUCAGAAGGUUUUUAUUUUUUUUAUGCUAAUAUGAGAGGAGUCUUUGGUUGGUGGAAGUUGCAGAGAGAUAGAAGUUCCUCUAUGAUAGUCUACCUAACUGAUUUGCGGCGUGCGAGCUUCAGCUGUGGAAUCCUAAGGCUCCUCUAAUUUCGUUAAUCGCAUGGGGAAAGCUUGGUUAAUCUCUAAGCAACCAAGGCCAGUUGCAACUCAAAUGGGCAUAUUGAAUGCAAAUGGGAUAAGUUGGGAUUUUAGAUUAGAUUCAGCAACUCACAUACUUGCUAUUGUGAUACUAAGCUGGCAUGAUGUAGAAGCUAUCUAGGCUACAAUGGAGUUUGGUGAAUUCUAGUUUGUAGUUACGUACGGAAGUGAAAUGGCUGAAUAUUCCAAGUGAGGUGGUGGGUGCUUGUUGUCUUGAUUUACAUUACAAGCUCUCAAGAUGAUCGAAUACUUGCUGUGGUUUUUUAUGUUAUAGUACUGGGAGUGAAAACUUGGUGUGCAAUGCAACUUUGGGAGUAGAGAAGAAAAACUCUGGACAUCUCAACUUGACAGAAUGCUAAAGAAGCAGAGAAUGAGAAAAUACCAUUGAUCAGGUUAGCAACUGGAGGUUGUGCAGCUGUAGAACCAUUUCCUGCUAUAAAUCCAUCUCGAAUCCUCCUUGCAAUGCCUCAAGCUUCAGUUAGUUGUAGUUGAAAUGUACCAUCAAUUCAGAAUAGAAUUUUGGGAUGAAUACUGUGUUGAUGUUAUUGGGAUGAAUAUUGAUAGUGGAAUAUUGUAGAUCUUGUUGGAUAAAUGGAACCCU